rnacentral:rRNA from 1 species
CCUACGGGGGGCAGCAGUGGGGAAUAUUGCACAAUGGGGGAAACCCUGAUGCAGCGACGCCGCGUGAGUGAGGAAGUAUUUCGGUAUGUAAAGCUCUAUCAGCAGGGAAGAAAAUGACGGUACCUGACUAAGAAGCCCCGGCUAACUACGUGCCAGCAGCCGCGGUAAUACGUAGGGGGCAAGCGUUAUCCGGAUGUACUGGGUGUAAAGGGAGCGUAGACGGCUCAGCAAGUCAGAAGUGAAAACCCAGGGCUCAACGUGGGGACUGCUUUUGAAACUGAGUAGCUAGAGUGCAGGAGCGGUCCGCGUCCUUCCUAGUGUAGCGGUGACCUUCGUAGCUAUUAGGUGGAUCACCGGUGUCGCCGGCGGCUUACUGGACUCUCACUGCCGUUGCGCCUCGCCCGCGUGAGCAAACAGGAUUAGAUACCCCAGUAGUC